rnacentral:rRNA from 1 species
GACGAACGCUGGCGGCGUGCUUAACACAUGCAAGUCGAACGGUAAGGCCUUUCGGGGUACGCGAGUGGCGAACGGGUGAGUAACACGUGGGUGAUCUGCCCUGCACUUUGGGAUAAGCCUGGGAAACUGGGUCUAAUACCGAAUAGGACCAUGGACUUCACGGUUUGUGGUGGAAAGCUUUUGCGGUGUGGGAUGGGCCCGCGGCCUAUCAGCUUGUUGGUGGGGUAAUGGCCUACCAAGGCGACGACGGGUAGCCGGCCCGAGAGGGUGACCGGCCACACUGGGACUGAGAUACGGCCCAGACUCCUACGGGAGGCAGCAGUGGGGAAUAUUGCACAAUGGGCGCAAGCCUGAUGCAGCGACGCCGCGUGAGGGAUGACGGCCUUCGGGUUGUAAACCUCUUUCAGCACAGACGAAGCGCAAGUGACGGUAUGUGCAGAAGAAGGACCGGCCAACUACGUGCCAGCAGCCGCGGUAA